GUGUAGGGAAUCCCCAUAAAUUCCGUGAUGGAAAUAACAAAACAAUUCGGUCAGACAUUUUUAAAGGAAGAAAAAGGAUAAUAUUCUGGAUUUUACUCACAAAUCCGGACGCACAAUGGAUGAGGUAGGGGAGGGAAUUUCCAGGGUGCCACUGCAGGCACCAGUAAAGAAAAGAAACCUUGGAAGGCUUCUUGUCGGUCAAAGCCAUAUUGAAUCAAGUGGAAUGUUUGGAACCAGAGUUCUCUCCCCUAAGAUGGGUGAAAUCACCUGCACAGCAAGCAACAAUAACGCCCUCAGUGGAGGGAGUUACACAACCAUGGGCAAUGGAUCAGUUGGUGUCAGCAACACCCGUGUCGCAGAUCAUUCUUACAAUGGAAUCAAGGUGUCCUCUCGCAUGCAGCUGGCUACUCCAUCCCCUGAUCAUGUGUAUCCUCUGACCUUUGCCAAUCUAGCUCAACCAGAGGAUGACACAGCCAACACUCAGAAGCUUGCCAUCGGGACAUGGCGCAGUAUGUCAGUGGAAGUUAGUGGCCAUGAUCCUUAUGAUCAGAUCUACAAACAUGGAAAAAACUUCAUCAGACCUGAAACACUCGGGAACCAGGUCCAACCUUAUACACCAGAAAAAGAAAAUGUGUCCUUGUUCCUUAAGAAAAUGCAACAGGAGAGUGAUACAAAGCUCGCCUUCAGAGGACCAAAUCUUGAGGACACAUGUUUUCGAUUUCAAGAUCCUGAAGACAUGCCUGAUGAAACGCAAGAUUUGUCUGGAUUGAUCCAUGAUAUUGACGAUGAGUUGGAGAAAGUCCCUCCAGGUCAAGAAAAGGAAGUUGAUAGGAAGGGCUUUGAAGAUUUUCAAGCUGUAAAUGGAAAACCAGAAAAUCCCAUUUUGGAAGAAACGGUCCCAGCCCUUGGAGUUCAGGUGCGUAAUGUUGGAGCAAAGCCAGUAGAGGAUUUUUCUAAACUCAACAUUGUGCUGACCUCGGGCCAUCAUCAAGGCGAAUACCAGAAGGCACUGUACAAACUCAUACUGGGUGUCAAAAACAAAUCUGGUGUAACACCAUCAUCUGUUUUCAAAGAAGGGCGCGUUCUAUUUGGAACUGAUAAAGCGUGCCAGGAAAUGUUGGACAAGAGUGAGUUCCUUCCAUCCCAUGGUACUCAUGGCGUAAUCCUGUACGAUAAGCUAAGACCACAGAAGGGGAGAUACACAGAAGAAGACUUCUCAGUAACAGAAGUUUUGGGAAGGGGAAACUUUGGCGAGGUGAAACUGUGUCAAGACAAGACUACCAAGGCCAAGUUCGUUAGGAAGCAGGUUAGGACAGAUUAUAAGAAGUCUGAGGUAGAGGUGAUGAUGUCCCUGAAGCACCAGAACAUCACUCAGUUCUACGGUGUCGUUCAGCGGGAGGGUGAUACAGAGAUCUUGAUGGAGUAUUCUGGUGUAUCCCUGCUGACAUUUGUUUUGGUACCUGCUACAAAGCACCUUGUGACGGAAGAGUUCAUCUGGAAUGUCAACCGUCAAGGCCUUUCUGCUCUUGCACACCUUGAGAUAUAUGGUAUCAUUCACCUUGAUAUCAAACCUGAGAAUAUGUGUAUCCUGGAAACUGCCACUGGUUGGACCUUAAAGCUGACUGACUUUGGGUCUGCCAAACUACCACAGGACCCGCUGACAUACAACGGCUGGACAGCGGAGUACAUGUCUCCAGAGGCCAGUAUCAGCUUUGUGAAGUCACGGUUCCCACAGUUGACCCUCAUUGACAGUGAGGACUGGGCCAUAACACCAAAGAGUGAUGUGUAUAGCUGGGGUCUCACUGUCGUGUUCAUGUACAGGAAAACACACAUACUGAUGCAUGCAUAUACAGGAGGCCAGAACAACUACAAAAACGUAGACAACCCAACUCAAAUCAAACUGCUCAUCAUAAUGUCGAUGGCACGGGACCCAGACAUGGUUCGAAGGUGCCUGAUCCCUGACGAUUGUAGCUCAGACAUGAAGAUAGUGAUGAACUGUCUGCUGGCAGGAAACCCAACACAGCGCCAUUCAGCUGCAGAAGCUGUUGCCGCAAUUGACAAAAUCAGCAGUGAUAAGCUGCUCUCCAAGGCAGACUCAUUACCAGAAUUGUUGGAAAACGAUCUGGACUGUUUCAUCUAUGACCCAUCAGAGGUGCACUCACCUGCACCAGGACCUACCAGAGUUCGUAGGACCAGUUCGGUGUCCAGUUGUGUGUCCAGUCAGGCGUCCAUCAGUAGUGUUCUGUCCUACUGUUCCAAUGCUAGUUGCUCCAAACCAAGAAGUCCUAACGGGACGGGGAAAAGUCGACGGCGAAUUGUGAAGAAGAAGCUGCGGGACAGAAUCGCAAGCCCGUACCCGAGAACUGAUAGAAUGGAAAUCCUGUCCCCUAGUACAGAGCUGGAUGGAAAUGUCCCAGACUUUGCAGCCCUUGGGUAGACAGCUGAUGAAGUGUCAUGAACAUUCGGACAAUGCUUAUUUAAUUGUAGCUUGUGUGCAUUAAACAUUUUGCUAAACAUUUUACUUAGAUUUCAGUUGCGUAUUGUAAGAGCUAUUCCAUUCUGAAUUACACCAGUUCAGUGGAUAAUAUAUAAAUUUGGUAAUAUAAAUUCUAUUAAUUUAAGUUUUGCUUGCCUUAUGUAAUGCUCAGACUUUUUUAUACAAAUUUCAGAUAAAGUCAGUAAAACCUUGCUUACUCGAACUCCUGGGGUCUUAAUGGGGUCUAGAUCAAUAGUUUAAACAAAUUGUAUUCGAUGAAUCUGGGGUUAGUUAAACUUUGUUAUGUUUCGAUCAGAUGGAAAGGUAGGAAGCUGGAGCUCUGCUCAUGUCGCGGAUAGUAGAUGAUAAAAAGUAAAAAGAAUUUCAAUAAAAACGACAACAUUUAAGAAUAUGUUAAACUGUUCAACACUGAAAGCAUACAGCCAUCGAUAAUAAGAACAGAAAUGAAGUAAAGAAACUGUAUAUUUAAAGUACACUGUACCUAUCAUUUGGGCAUAGUCUACCAUCUGUAUUUAGCCACAUUACCUUUAAUUUACAGAAUAUUAAAAAGAGAGGAACUGUUGAAUAUUUCUAAAAAGAAGAAAAUAAUUUUGAAUCCAUGUUAUUAGAAUGUUAAUUGAUAAUGAAGUUAACAGUCAAAAAGUGAUCAAAAUGAUCAUUCUAUUGGUAACGGUACAGGUACCUAAUGAUACUGCUGUUAAUCCUCUAAUAAUCUAAUGUCCAGCCGACACUUGUAUAAACGCAAUGAGUGCAAUCUGUCUGUACCUCAAGACACUUCGAUGGCAUGCAAUAGAUUUCCUGUUAACUGAAUGGAUAGGAUAGGUACUAAAGACGUGAGCAGUUGGGUAUAAUCAGAGUUUGAGGAACACAGGGUAUUCAAGCAAUAGCAGUUGAAGUAAUCCAAGGUUACUUUACAAAGAAUGUAUAAGAACACGGUCAGGGCCAAGUGACCUCUUCAUCCAAGGUUACUUUACAAAGAAUGUAUAAGAACACGGUCAGGGCCAAGUGACCUCUUCAUCCAAGGUUACUUUACAAAGAAUGUAUAAGAACACGGUCAGGGCCAAGUGACCUCUUCAUCCAAGGUUACUUU
rnacentral:misc_RNA from 1 species